UAACUCCGUGCCAGCAGCCGCGGUAAUACGGAGGGUGCGAGCGUUAAUCGGAAUUACUGGGCGUAAAGCGCAUGCAGGUGGUUCAUUAAGUCAGAUGUGAAAGCCCGGGGCUCAACCUCGGAACUGCAUUUGAAGCUGGUGAACUAGAGUGCUGUAGAGGGGGGUAGAAUUUCAGGUGUAGCGGUGAAAUGCGUAGAGAUCUGAAGGAAUACCAGUGGCGAAGGCGGCCCCCUGGACAGACACGGACAUUCAGAUGAGAAAGCGUGGGGAGCAAACAGGAUUAGAUACCCUGGUAGUCCACGCCGUAAACGAUGUCUACUUGGAGGUGGUGGCCUUGAGCCGUGGCUUUCGGAGGUAACGGGUUAAGUAGACCGCCUGGGGAGUACGGCCGCAAGGUUAA
rnacentral:rRNA from 1 species